rnacentral:rRNA from 1 species
UGUCGUGAGAAGAUCUUCCGCUUCAAAAGUUCUUUGGUCAGGGAGGGUCCGGCCGGGGGUAAAACCUUCUGUUAAUACUGGUACGGGGAGAAAAAACCACCGGCUGAAUAUGUAAUAUCAGCCGCGGUAAUCCGCGCGGGGCAAGCGUUAUCGGAAUUAAUGGGCCUAAAGCGUUUUCAGCCGGGUGGGUAAGAUAUACUCCGUAUGCGCGGAUCCACCUGGGAUUUGUGUGGAGAUUUCAAGGCAGGAGUCGGCAGAGGGGGGUAGAAUUCCCCCGUGGAGCAGAGAUAUGCGUAGAGAUGUGGAGGAACAUCGAUGGCGUAGGCAGCCCCAUGGGUCAUGUCUGACGCUCAUGCACGAAAGCGUGGGGAGCAAUCAGGAUUAGAUACCCCGGUAGUCCCCGCGGUAUACGAUGUCUACUAGUUGUAGGCUCUUAAUUGACUUGGUAACCCAGCUAACGCGUGAAGUAGUCCGCCUGGGGAGUACGGUCGCAAGAUUAAAAUUCAAAGGAAUUGACGGGGACCCGCACGAGCGGUGGAUGAUGUGGAUUAAUUCGAUGCAACGCGAAAAACCUUACCUACCCUUGACAUGUCAGGAAUCCUUGAGAGAUCGGGGAGUGCCCGAAAGGGAACCUGAACACAGGUGCUGCAUGGCUGUCGUCAGCUCGUGUCGUGAGAUGUUGGGUUAAGUCCCGCAACGAGCGCAACCCUUGUCAUUAGUUGCUACGAAAGGGCACUCUAAUGAGACUGCCGGUGACAAACCGGAGGAAGGUGGGGAUGACGUCAAGUCCUCAUGGCCCUUAUGGGUAGGGCUUCACACGUCAUACAAUGGUACAUACAGAGGGCCGCCAACCCGCGAGGGGGAGCUAAUCCCAGAAAGUGUAUCGUAGUCCGGAUCGCAGUCCGCAACUCGACUGCGUGAAGUUGGAAUCGCUAGUAAUCGCGGAUCAGCAUGCCGCGGGGAAUACGUUCCCGGGUCUUGUACACACCGCCCGUCACAACAGUGGGAGCGGGUUUUACCAGAAGUAGGUAGCUUAACCGCAAGGAGGGCGCUACCAACGGUUAUGAUUAUCGAGUUGGGGG